CUACGGGAGGCAGCAGUGGGGAAUAUUGGACAAUGGGCGCAAGCCUGAUCCAGCAAUGCCGCGUGAGUGAAGACGGCCUUAGGGUUGUAAAACUCUUUCGCUAGGGAAGAUAAUGACUGUACCUAGUAAAGAAGUCCCGGCUAACUCCGUGCCAGCAGCCGCGGUAAUACGGAGGGGACUAGCGUUGUUCGGAAUUACUGGGCGUAAAGAGUUCGUAGGCGGACUGACAAGUUAGAGGUGAAAUCCCAGGGCUCAACCCUGGGACUGCCUUUAAAACUGUCAGUCUAGAGACCGGAAGAGGUUAGGGGAAUACCUAGUGUAGAGGUGAAAUUCGUAGAUAUUAGGUGGAACACCAGUGGCGAAGGCGCCUAACUGGUCCGGUACUGACGCUGAGGAACGAAAGCGUGGGGAGCAAACAGGAUUAGAUACCCUGGUAGUC
rnacentral:rRNA from 1 species